GACGAACGCUGGCGGCGUGCUUAACACAUGCAAGUCGAACGGAAAGGCCCUGCUUUUGUGGGGUGCUCGAGUGGCGAACGGGUGAGUAACACGUGAGUAACCUGCCCUUGACUUUGGGAUAACUUCAGGAAACUGGGGCUAAUACCGGAUAGGAGCUCCUGCUGCAUGGUGGGGGUUGGAAAGUUUCGGCGGUUGGGGAUGGACUCGCGGCUUAUCAGCUUGUUGGUGGGGUAGUGGCUUACCAAGGCUUUGACGGGUAGCCGGCCUGAGAGGGUGACCGGCAACAUUGGGACUGAGAUACGGCACAGACUCCUACGGGGGGCAGCAGUGGGGAAUAUUGCACAAUGGGCGGAAGCCUGAUGCAGCAACGCCGCGUGCGGGAUGACGGCCUUCGGGUUGUAAACCGCUUUCGCCUGUGACGAAGCGUGAGUGACGGUAAUGGGUAAAGAAGCACCGGCUAACUACGUG
rnacentral:rRNA from 1 species